CAGUCGCCGCGGUAAUGCAGAGGGUGCAAGCGUUAAUCGGAAUUACUGGGCGUAAAGCGCGCGUAGGUGGUUUGUUAAGUUGGAUGUGAAAUCCCCGGGCUCAACCUGGGAACUGCAUUCAAAACUGACUGACUAGAGUAUGGUAGAGGGUGGUGGAAUUUCCUGUGUAGCGGUGAAAUGCGUAGAUAUAGGAAGGAACACCAGUGGCGAAGGCGACCACCUGGACUAAUACUGACACUGAGGUGCGAAAGCGUGGGGAGCAAACAGGAUUAGAUACCCGCGUAGUCCCUGUCUCUUAUAA
rnacentral:rRNA from 1 species